rnacentral:rRNA from 1 species
GAGUUUGAACCUGGCUCAGGAUGAACGCUGGCGGCGUGCUUAACACAUGCAAGUCGAACGAAGCAAGAAGCGAAGCGCAAGCAGAGGUUCUUGACUGAGUGGCGGACGGGUGAGUAACGCGUGGAUAACCUGCCUUUCACAGGGGGAUAACAGCUGGAAACGGCUGCUAAUACCGCAUGAGCCUCUUUUGUCGCAUGAGGAGAGAGGGAAAGAGAAAUCGGUGAGAGAUGGAUCCGCGUCCGAUUAGCUAGUUGGAGGGGUAACAGCCCACCAAGGCGACGAUCGGUAGCCGACCUGAGAGGGUGGACGGCCACAUUGGGACUGAGACACGGCCCAAACUCCUACGGGAGGCAGCAGUGGGGAAUAUUGCACAAUGGGGGAAACCCUGAUGCAGCAACGCCGCGUGAGUGAGGAAGUAUUUCGGUAUGUAAAGCUCUAUCAGCAGGGAAUAGAAAAGAAGGUACCUGAAAAAGAAGCCCCGGCUAACUACGUGCCAGCAGCCGCGGUAAUACGUAGGGGGCAAGCGUUAUCCGGAUUUACUGGGUGUAAAGGGAGCGUAGACGGAAAGGCAAGUCAGAAGUGAAAACCCAAGGCUCAACCAUGGGACUGCUUUUGAAACUGUCAAACUAGAGUACGGGAGAGGUAAGAGGAAUUCCUAGUGUAGCGGUGAAAUGCGUAGAUAUUAGGAGGAACACCAGUGGCGAAGGCGUCUUACUGGACCGAAACUGACGUUGAGGCU